rnacentral:rRNA from 1 species
UACGUAGGGGGCAAGCGUUGUCCGGAAUCAUUGGGCGUAAAGAGCGCGUAGGCGGUCCGGUAAGUCCGCUCUGAAAGUCCGGGGCUCAACCCCGGGAGGCGGGCGGAUACUGCCGGGCUAGAGUCCGGAAGAGGCGAGUGGAAUUCCUGGUGUAGCGGUGAAAUGCGCAGAUAUCAGGAGGAACACCUAUGGCGAAGGCAGCUCGCUGGGACGUUACUGACGCUGAGACGCGAAAGCGUGGGGAGCAAACAGG